rnacentral:rRNA from 1 species
AGUGAACGCUGGCGGUAGGCCUAACACAUGCAAGUCGAACGGCAGCACAGUAAGAGCUUGCUCUUACGGGUGGCGAGUGGCGGACGGGUGAGGAAUACAUCGGAAUCUACUUUUUCGUGGGGGAUAACGUAGGGAAACUUACGCUAAUACCGCAUACGACCUACGGGUGAAAGCAGGGGAUCUUCGGACCUUGCGCGAUCGAAUGAGCCGAUGUCGGAUUAGCUAGUUGGCGGGGUAAAGGCCCACCAAGGCGACGAUCCGUAGCUGGUCUGAGAGGAUGAUCAGCCACACUGGAACUGAGACACGGUCCAGACUCCUACGGGAGGCAGCAGUGGGGAAUAUUGGACAAUGGGCGCAAUCCUGAUCCAGCCAUACCGCGUGGGUGAAGAAGGCCUUCGGGUUGUAAAGCCCUUUUGUUGGGAAAGAAAAGCAGCAGGUUAAUACCCCGCUGUUCUGACGGUACCCAAAGAAUAAGCAACGGCUAACUUCGUG